rnacentral:rRNA from 1 species
GACGAACGCUGGCGGCGUGCUUAACACAUGCAAGUCGAACGGCAAGGCCCUGCUUUUGUGGGGUGCUCGAGUGGCGAACGGGUGAGUAACACGUGAGUAACCUGCCCUUGACUUUGGGAUAACUUCAGGAAACUGGGGAUAAUACCGGCUAGGAGCUCCUGCUGCAUGGUGGGGGUGGGAGCGUUUCGGCGGUUGGGGAUGGACUCGCGGCUUAUCAGCUUGUUGGUGGGGUAGUGGCUUACCCAGGCUGUGACGGGUAGCCGGCCUGGGAGGGUGACCGGCCACAUUGGGACUGAGAUACGGAGCAGACUCCAACGGGAGGCAGCAGUGGGGAAUAUUGCACAAUGGGCGGAAGCCUGAUGCAGCAACGCCGCGUGCGUGAUGACGGCCUUCUGGUUGUAAACCGCUUUCGCCUGUGACGAAGCGUGAGUGACGGUAAUGGGUAAAGAAGCACCGGCUAACUACGUG